rnacentral:rRNA from 1 species
AUGAACAUCUUGGCCUGGAACUGUCGGGGAUUGGGGUUGGACCCGACAGUAGGCGAACUUCAGGACCUGGUUAGGUCACACAACCCAGCGGUGGUUUUCUUAUCAGAAACUAAAAAAACUUCAAGCUCAAUGGUGAGGCUGAAAUGGAGUCUAGGGUUCCGACAUGGGGUUGCCGUGAGCUGUCACGGUAAGAGUGGAGGACUAGCUCUUUGGUGGAGGGAUCAUGUGGAG